rnacentral:rRNA from 1 species
CCCAGACAGCCAGGAUGUUGGCUUAGAAGCAGCCAUCAUUUAAAGAAAGCGUAAUAGCUCACUGGUCGAGUCGGCCUGCGCGGAAGAUGUAACGGGGCUAAACCAUGCACCGAAGCUGCGGCAGCGACACUGUGUGUUGUUGGGUAGGGGAGCGUUCUGUAAGCCUGUGAAGGUGUGUCGUGAGGGUUGCUGGAGGUAUCAGAAGUGCGAAUGCUGACAUAAGUAACGAUAAAGCGGGUGAAAAGCCCGCUCGCCGGAAGACCAAGGGUUCCUGUCCAACGUUAAUCGGGGCAGGGUGAGUCGACCCCUAAGGCGAGGCCGAAAGGCGUAGUCGAUGGGAAACGGGUUAAUAUUCCCGUACUUGGUGUUACUGCGAAGGGGGGACGGAGAAGGCUAUGUUGGCCGGGCGACGGUUGUCCCGGUUUAAGCGUGUAGGUGUGUGUUCCAGGUAAAUCCGGUUCACUUUAACACUGAGGCGUGAUGACGAGGCACUACGGUGCUGAAGCAACAAAUGCCCUGCUUCCAGGAAAAGCCUCUAAGCAUCAGGUAACAUCAAAUCGUACCCCAAACCGACACAGGUGGUCAGGUAGAGAAUAC